UGAGCUAAAUGGAUGAACGAUGAA
rnacentral:siRNA from 1 species